GGGGUUGUGGCUCAGAGGUAGAGCACUCACCUAAUAGGCGUGAGGCCUUAGGUUGAAUCCUCAGCACCA
rnacentral:tRNA from 1 species